GACGAACGCUGGCGGCGUGCCUAAUACAUGCAAGUUGAGCGAUGAAGCUUGGUGCUUGCACCAAUUUGAAGAGCAGCGAACGGGUGAGUAACGCGUGGGGAAUCUGCCUUUGAGCGGGGGACAACAUUUGGAAACGAAUGCUAAUACCGCAUAACAACUUUAAACAUAAGUUUUAAGUUUGAAAGAUGCAAUUGCAUCACUCAAAGAUGAUCCCGCGUUGUAUUAGCUAGUUGGUGAGGUAAAGGCUCACCAAGGCGAUGAUACAUAGCCGACCUGAGAGGGUGAUCGGCCACACUGGGACUGAGACACGGCCCAAACUCCUACGGGAGGCAGCAGUAGGGAAUCUUCGGCAAUGGACGAAAGUCUGACCGAGCAACGCCGCGUGAGUGAAGAAGGUUUUCGGAUCGUAAAACUCUGUUGGUAGAGAAGAACGUUGGUGAGAGUGGAAAGCUCAUCAAGUGACGGUAACUACCCAGAAAGGGACGGCUAACUACGUG
rnacentral:rRNA from 1 species